rnacentral:rRNA from 1 species
CUCCUGGUGGCGAGUGGCGAACGGGUGAGUAAUGCAUCGGAACGUAUCCGGAAGGUGGGGAGUAACGUAGCGAAAGUUACGCUAAUACCGCAUAUUCUGUGAGCAGGAAAGAGGGGGAGUCGCAAGACCUCUCGCUUUCGGAGCGGCCGAUGUCGGAUUAGCUAGUUGGUGUGGUAAAAGCGCACCAAGGCGACGAUCCGUAGCGGGUCGUGAGAGGAUGAUCCGCCACACUGGAACUGAGACACGGUCCAGACUCCUACGGGAGGCAGCAGUGGGGAAUUUUGGACAAUGGGCGCAAGCCUGAUCCAGCCAUGCCGCGUGAGUGAAGAAGGCCUUCGGGUUGUAAAGCUCUUUCGGCGGGGAAGAAAUUGCUCAGGAUAAUACCUUGAGUAGAUGACGGUACCCGCAUAAGAAGCACCGGCUAACUACGUG